rnacentral:rRNA from 1 species
GUCGAACGGUAACAUAAAGAAGCUUGCUUCUUUGAUGACGAGUGGCGGACGGGUGAGUAAUGCUUGGGAAUCUAGCUUAUGGAGGGGGAUAACUACGGGAAACUGUAGCUAAUACCGCGUAAUAUCGAAAGAUUAAAGUGUGGGACCUUCGGGCCACAUGCCAUAGGAUGAGCCCAAGUGGGAUUAGGUAGUUGGUGAGGUAAAGGCUCACCAAGCCGACGAUCUCUAGCUGGUCUGAGAGGAUGACCAGCCACACUGGGACUGAGACACGGCCCAGACUCCUACGGGAGGCAGCAGUGGGGAAUAUUGCGCAAUGGGGGCAACCCUGACGCAGCCAUGCCGCGUGAAUGAAGAAGGCCUUCGGGUUGUAAAGUUCUUUCGGUAGCGAGGAAGGCAUUUAGUUUAAUAAACUAGGUGAUUGACGUUAACUACAGAAGAAGCACCGGCUAACUCCGUGCCAGCAGCCGCGGUAAUGCGGAGGGUGCGAGCGUUAAUCGGAAUAACUGGGCGUAAAGGGCACGCAGGCGGUGACUUAAGUGAGGUGUGAAAGCCCCGGGCUUAACCUGGGAAUUGCAUUUCAUACUGGGUCGCUAGAGUACUUUAGGGAGGGGUAGAAUUCCACGUGUAGCGGUGAAAUGCGUAGAGAUGUGGAGGAAUACCGAAGGCGAAGGCAGCCCCUUGGGAAUGUACUGACGCUCAUGUGCGAAAGCGUGGGGAGCAAACAG